rnacentral:piRNA from 1 species
CCCAGGUACGCCUUGAUGUCCACACGGAGC